rnacentral:rRNA from 1 species
UGGGGAAUUUUGGACAAUGGGCGAAAGCCUGAUCCAGCAAUGCCGCGUGUGUGAAGAAGGCCUUCGGGUUGUAAAGCACUUUUGUCCGGAAAGAAAUCCUCUGGGUUAAUACCUCGGGGGGAUGACGGUACCGGAAGAAUAAGCACCGGCUAACUACGUGCCAGCAGCCGCGGUAAUACGUAGGGUGCAAGCGUUAAUCGGAAUUACUGGGCGUAAAGCGUGCGCAGGCGGUUUUGUAAGACGGAUGUGAAAUCCCCGGGCUUAACCUGGGAACUGCAUUCGUGACUGCAAGGCUAGAGUAUGGCAGAGGGGGGUAGAAUCCCACGUGUAGCAGUGAAAUGCGUAGAGAUGUGGAGGAAUACCGAUGGCGAAGGCAGCCCCCUGGGCCAAUACUGACGCUCAUGCACGAAAGCGUGGGGAGCAAACAGGAUUAGAUACCCUGGUAGUCCACGCCCUAAACGAUGUCAACUAGUUGUUGGGGAUUCAUUUCCUUAGUAACGUAGCUAACGCGUGAAGUUGACCGCCUGGGGAGUACGGUCGCAAGAUUAAAACUU